rnacentral:rRNA from 1 species
CAAUAGCGUAUAUUAAAGUUGUUGCAGUUAAAAAGCUCGUAGUUGAAUUUUUGCUUGCCGCCGAUGUCGGAACUUCCGUACGUUCGGCGGCGUGCAUCCUUGGGUGGAACCUGUGUGGCAUUAGGUUGUCGUGCAGGGGAUGCUCAUCGUUUGCUGUGAAAAAAUUAGAGUGUUCAAAGCAGGCUUACGCCGUUGAAUAUAUUAGCAUGGAAUAAUAAGAUAGGACCUUGGUACUAUUUUGUUGGUUUGCGCACCGAGGUAAUGAUUAACAGGGACAGUUGGGGGUAUUCGUAUUCCAUUGUCAGAGGUGAAAUUCUUGGAUUUCUGGAAGACGAACUACUGCGAAAGCAUUUACCAAGGAUGUUUUCAUUAA